UACGUAGGUGGCAAGCGUUGUCCGGAAUUAUUGGGCGUAAAGCGCGCGCAGGCGGUCCUUUAAGUCUGAUGUGAAAGCCCACGGCUCAACCGUGGAGGGUCAUUGGAAACUGGGGGACUUGAGUGCAGGAGAGAAGAGUGGAAUUCCACGUGUAGCGGUGAAAUGCGUAGAUAUGUGGCGGAACACCGAUGGCGAAGGCAGCCCCCUGGGCUGAGAUUGACGCUCAGGCACGAAAGCGUGGGGAGCAAACAGG
rnacentral:rRNA from 1 species